rnacentral:rRNA from 1 species
GACUGUUUACCAAAAACACAGCACUCUGCUAACUCGUAAGAGGAUGUAUAGGGUGUGACGCCUGCCCGGUGCUCGAAGGUUAAUUGAUGGGGUUAGCAUUAGCGAAGCUCUUGAUCGAAGCCCGAGUAAACGGCGGCCGUAACUAUAACGGUCCUAAGGUAGCGAAAUUCCUUGUCGGUUAAAUACCGACCUGCAUGAAUGGCGUAACGAGAUGGGAGCUGUCUCAAAGAGGGAUCCAGUGAAAUUGUAGUGGAGGUGAAAAUUCCUCCUACCCGCGGCAAGACGGAGAGACCCCGUGGACCUUUACUACAGCUUGACACUGCUAUUUGGAUAAGAAUGUGCAGGAUAGGUGGGAGGCUUUGAGUAUAUGACGCCAGUUGUAUAUGAGCCAUUGUUGAGAUACCACUCUUUCUUAUUUGGGUAGCUAACCAGCUUGAGUUAUCCUCAAGUGGGACAAUGUCUGGUGGGUAGUUUGACUGGGGCGGUCGCCUCCCAAAUAAUAACGG